UCUAAUAAGGAGGGCACCUAAGAAUCAGCUGAUAACCUCAGAGACUAAGGAGACUCCCCCCUCGAUCUGGUUCUUGAUCUCACCAUCAACACCAGAUAACAGAACCCCCAUUUUGGCCAACCUAGAGCACCUUAAUUCUUUCCUUUUCCAGGAGCGAACAAAUGGCGAAAGAGAGUCCCUCCAAAAAUUAAUCAGCGUCGUUACUCCUCUCCCCCACCUUCAUCAUCUUCUUUCCAUCUAAUUAAAAAAAAAGAAACACAUACAAGAGAAAUGGACAGAUUCAAAAGAAAAAUGAAUGAAAAAAACAGAAAAUAAAGGAUUUGAAGGCUAUUCGAAUUUCUGCUCUUUUGCUUUAGUUUCUUUUUGGAAUUUUGAGUGACAUUUAGAUUGAAGAAGUUUUGUUUGGUCGCUGGAACUAUCGUUGAUGUUCUGCUGAGUCCGCGUAGCUGAGCUUUCUAGUUUCUUCUUCACCUUUGUUUGAUUCUACUUUGCCUGUUUCGCUACUAUCCAGUGAGGCCGGCGCUACUCGUCGCAUUGACACUGUGGGUUGGAGCAUGAAAGAAAAUGGAGUCAUGGUCAAUCUCAAAAGAACCACAGGACUAAAUAUUGAUAAUGUAAAGAUAUUGAGUGUUAUUUAAUUAACUAUAAAAAGUUAUUAAAUGUA